rnacentral:tRNA from 1 species
GGGCGAGUGGUGGAACGGCAGACACGCUGGUCUUAGGAACCAGUGCCGCAAGGCGUGGGGGUUCAAAUCCCUUCUCGCCCACCA